rnacentral:rRNA from 1 species
UACGUAGGGUGCGAGCGUUAAUCGGAAUUACUGGGCGUAAAGCGUGCGCAGGCGGUUUUGUAAGCCAGAUGUGAAAUCCCCGGGCUUAACCUGGGAAUGGCAUUUGGGACUGCAAGGCUUGAGUGCGGCAGAGGAGACUGGAAUUCCCGGUGUAGCAGUGAAAUGCGUAGAUAUCGGGAGGAAUACCGAUGGCGAAGGCAGCCCCCUGGGAUAACACUGACGCUCAUGCACGAAAGCGUGGGGAGCAAACAGG